UCAAUUCAAAUGAAAGGACAACAACAGCAACAACAACAAUGAAAAUAACUAUUCUUCUUUUUUUUCGAUUCUCCCUCUUUGUGUUUUUUUCCACAUUAUUGUUUAUGCAAAUCAGCUGCAAUCUUUCUGAUGACUUCAUAAACAAAUUUUUGGCAAACUUUUGAAGAGGCAGGGUCAUGAAGGGCCCCAUUCAUAAUAUUAUUUGAAAUCACUCUAAUUGCUAGAAAAGAAAAA
rnacentral:ribozyme from 13 species